rfam:Gossypium arboreum cultivar AKA8401 contig_100498_1, whole genome shotgun sequence.
AAUUCAUGGUGUAGGCAUUUUUGAAUCAACAUUUUGAAAUGUUCCCAUGCCUCAUAGAAAAUUUUUCCCUCCAUUUGUCUAAAGAUAGCGAUCUCUCCUUUUAUUU